rnacentral:rRNA from 1 species
CCUACGGGAGGCAGCAGUAAGGAAUCUUCCACAAUGGACGAAAGUCUGAUGGAGCAACGCCGCGUGCAGGAUGAAGGCUUUCGGGUCGUAAACUGCUUUUAUAUGGGAAGAUUAUGACGGUACCAUAUGAAUAAGGACCGGCUAACUACGUGCCAGCAGCCGCGGUAAUACGUAGGGUCCAAGCGAUAUCCGGAAUUACUGGGCGUAAAGCGUGUGUAGGUGGAUUAAUAAGUGUGAUGCGAAAUCCGGCGGCUCAACCGUUUGGACUGUGUCGCAUACUGUUAGUCUAGAGGACGGCAGAGGUAAGUGGAAUUACGGGUGUAGCAGUGAAAUGCGUAGAUAUCCGUAGGAACACCAAUGGCGAAGGCAGCUUACUGGGCCACACCUGACACUGAGACACGAAAGCGUGGGGAGCGAACAGGAUUAGAUACCCUGGUAGUCCACGCCGUAAACGAUGCAUACUAUUAGUAUGGGGUAUCGACCCCCUGUGCUGAGAAGCUAACGCGAUAAGUAUGCCGCCUGGGGAGUACGAGCGCAAGCUUAAAACUCAAAGGAAUUGACGGNUGNGAGNGCGAGACGACGACGAGGAGGAGG